UAUGUUAUUGAGAUGUAUAGUUUGGCAAAUAAUAAAAUGUCUUUGCAGCUCAAACACCCACUACCUUUCAAUAGGAUAUUGUCAAUUUGCUGAGGUUGAUUAUGUCCAAUUAACAGCUAACAAUUAUGCCAUUCCUUGGCUUGCAUCUGAGUAAAACGUAAUUCAAAACCCACGUACAGUUUGCGAUUUUUUAAAGGAUACUUUUGCUUCAGAAGCAUGUUCAUUUUGCAUGUUAAA